GAUGAACGCUGGCGGCGUGCUUAACACAUGCAAGUCGAGCAAAGCACUUUGGAAAGAUUCUUCGGAUGAUUUCCUUUGUGACUGAGCGGCGGACGGGUGAGUAACGCGUGGGUAACCUGCCUCAUACAGGGGGAUAACAGUUAGAAAUGACUGCUAAUACCGCAUAAGACCACGGUACCGCAUGGUACAGUGGUAAAAACUCCGGUGGUAUGAGAUGGACCCGCGUCUGAUUAGGUAGUUGGUGGGGUAACGGCCUACCAAGCCGACGAUCAGUAGCCGACCUGAGAGGGUGACCGGCCACAUUGGGACUGAGACACGGCCCAGACUCCUACGGGAGGCAGCAGUGGGGAAUAUUGCACAAUGGAGGAAACUCUGAUGCAGCGACGCCGCGUGAAGGAUGAAGUAUUUCGGUAUGUAAACUUCUAUCAGCAGGGAAG
rnacentral:rRNA from 1 species